rnacentral:rRNA from 1 species
GAUGAACGCUAGCUACAGGCUUAACACAUGCAAGUCGAGGGACCGGCGUACGGGUGAGUAACGCGUAUCCAACCGUCCCAUUACUGUGGGAUAACCUGCCGAAAGGCAGACCAAUACCGCAUAGUAAUGGAUGGGGAUGAGUCUGAUUAGCUUGUUGGCAGGGUGACGGCCCACCAAGGCUCCGAUCAGUAGGGGUUCUGAGAGGAAGGCCCCCCACAUUGGAACUGAGACACGUACCAAACUGCUACUGGAAGCAGCGGUGGGGUAUAUGAGGCAAUGGACUGGCGUUUGCACACGCCAAGUGGCGGACAAAUUGACGGCCUCUGGGUUGUAAGCUGCUUUUGUAUGGGGAUAGGUACCAUAAGAAUAAGGACCGGCUAAUUCCGUGCCAGCAGCCGCGGUAAUAC